rnacentral:rRNA from 1 species
GGGACACGUGGUAUCCUGUCUGAAUAUGGGGGGACCAUCCUCCAAGGCUAAAUACUCCUGACUGACCGAUAGUGAACCAGUACCGUGAGGGAAAGGCGAAAAGAACCCCGGCGAGGGGAGUGAAAAAGAACCUGAAACCGUGUACGUACAAGCAGUGGGAGCACCCUUCGGGGUGUGACUGCGUACCUUUUGUAUAAUGGGUCAGCGACUUAUAUUCUGUAGCAAGGUUAACCGAAUAGGGGAGCCGGAGGGAAACCGAGUCUUAAUUGGGCGUUAAGUUGCAGGGUAUAGACCCGAAACCCGGUGAUCUAGCCAUGGGCAGGUUGAAGGUUGGGUAACACUAACUGGAGGACCGAACCGACUAAUGUUGAAAAAUUAGCGGAUGACCUGUGGCUGGGGGUGAAAGGCCAAUCAAACCGGGAGAUAGCUGGUUCUCCCCGAAAGCUAUUUAGGUAGCGCCUCGUGAAUUCAUCUCCGGGGGUAGAGCACUGUUUCGGCUAGGGGGCCAUCCCGGCUUACCAACCCGAUGCA